rnacentral:misc_RNA from 1 species
CUCAUCUUUCAUUCAUUUUUUUUUCUUUUUCUAAUAGGGGAUUUGGGAGUAGAGACUUGAACUGACUCAGCUAAGCAAGUAACGUGUCUUUAAUCACAGUAUCAAGCCUAGGCAAUCCCAUCUGCAUUCUUGAUUAACAUAUAACUUAUUAAAACAGAAAUAAAGGCAAUAAAAGGGACCUCAAGGAUUAAACUCAGGCAUUUGCGA